AUACGGAGGAUCCGAGCGUUAUCCGGAUUUAUUGGGUUUAAAGGGUGCGCAGGCGGCCAUUUAAGUCAGCGGUUAAAUCGUGGGGCUCAACCCCAUUCUGCCGUUGAUACUGGGUGGCUUGAUUGCGGUCGAGGUUGGCGGAAUUCGUUGUGUAGCGGUGAAAUGCAUAGAUAUGACGAAGAACACCGAUUGCGUAGGCAUCUGACCAGACCGCAAAUGACGCUCAUGCACGAAAGUGCGGGGAUCGAACAGGAUUAGAUACCCUGGUAGUCCGCACAGUAAGCGAUGAAUACUUGUUUUCGGCGAUAUAAUGUCGGAGGCAAAGCGAAAGCGAUAAGUAUUCCACCUGGGGAGUACGCCGGCAACGGUGAAACUCAAAUGAAUUGACGGGG
rnacentral:rRNA from 1 species